AGCCGGAGCCCUUUCAAAGGGGCAACCUUGAGAGAGCAACCAGUGAGACGGUAUGGGUGGUACACGUGACUGAGCCGUGCUAAGGCCUCUUCCUAAACUUUAGGAUUCUGGCGGGUGAGUGCGGAGAUUUACUGCCCCUGUGGCCAAGGAACACAAGCCUCCUAAGAACAUUCAGUGCUCCUGGUGCUGGGAUUAUGAAGGCAAAGGAGAUACACUCCUGCCAUCCGUUUGCAUACUCCAGUCAAGAGAGGAAAAUGGGUUCAUAAAGAGAUGAUGAGAAUCAUAUGCAUUAAGCAUGAAACCAAAGGAAACAUUUUAAAAUAUCAGACAUACUCUAGGAAGUUCAUUCACAUCACUUGGAGUCGUCUUGCCUCCUCUGUGUUGCUGAGACAAACAUUGCUCUACACUAUCUGCACCCAUGCAUCCAAGUAUAUCUUCUCUGGUGCUUAGAAGAAACAUCAAUGUGUCACAUUUCUUCAGGCUCUACUGUGAAAGCCAUAUUCUUACCACUGAAGCAAAUCAAUUAAAUUUGUUUUCAUUCAUCAAAAGAGAAGGUGACUUAUUCUGGGUUGCUAGAGUUCUCCGAAGACAGUCUUCUCUUCUUUGGGUUCGUUGAAAUACUUCUCAACUUUCAAUGUGCAUAUGAAUUAUCUGAUGUCUUUUUCAAAAUGCAGAUUCUGAUCCAUUAGAUCUGGGGUGCAGCCCAAGAUUCUGCAUUUGUAACAAGCUGCAGUCCCCUGGCCGCACUUUGAAGAGCAAGGAUCUAAGAGGAACUCAUUGAAGUGUAUGCUUGAAGAUAGCCUUGCCCACUCCUGAGUGGAAGAUCAUGGGGAGCCCAGGAUUGUUCAGAUUUCAGUUAGAAAACUGUCUACUGUAGCAUGUGUCCUGCUUAUUUCCAUUAAUGAGUACUGAACCUCAUUAUUGAUCUAACCAGCCUUGAAAGGUCAGACUUCAUCCCUGAAUGAAAGGCUUCAGCACAUCCUGAACCCUGAGCCACAACUGCAGGAAAACCACCCAGCAAAGGGGAUUAAUUUCACCCCUUUCUGUAUUGACUCUGUUUGGGGAGUUAGUAUUUUUGGCCCUGAGCCAGCUGAUCUCAUCCACAAAUUAAGCUGACAGUUCCUUCCAACAAUAAAGGCUGUCUUGGAGCCAGGGAAACAUUGAUUUAAUUGGUCUCAAACAAUUUCAGUAGUCACAAUUUCACAGAUUCCUAAGGGAGAGCCUCACCCUCCUGCAGGGGUGCUGGACCCUUUUUCUUCUUUCUUCUCCAUCUUCAUUGAUGCUGCUGGCCAGCGGAUUGGAAUUGCUGCACAAGAGAGGAGGGUUAAGGUGGACACUGAUUAAGAUUCUCAAUCUACUGUGGUGAUGCUAUUACUUUGAAUCCUCGUAAAAGGAGAAGACCGAGACCCGGCUCAUGAAGUGGUAUUGAUUUUCUGAGUUCCUGCUCGAGUUGCCAAAGAUACAACACUGUUGUUAAGGAGAGGAGAUGCCUUGGCCUUCAAUAUCACAGGAGGGUUCCUCGGACUUACCAAUUUGGGCUUCUUCCAGCGCUAAAAACCGAUUACAAAUAUGAAACAGAUUUUACUACUGGACUUGAAUACCAUAUUAAAAACAAGAAGAUCGUCAAAAUAAUUGAAAAAGAUCCUUACCAAAGAAUAGAUGCAAUGUGAAUGGCAAGAUAUCGAGGAGGUUUUGGUAUUUGGUCUGACACAUAACAGACCCUGAAAUGUUGGUGGAGUGAAUGAGGAAUCUCUCACGCUGCAUCCUGGGAACUAUACUUAGACAGCAAUGCAAUGUGUGUGAGCCCUGGAAUCCUGCUCCAUAUGGAAAUUUCAGAAUUUGUUGAUUGUGGACAAUAAACAGAGUCCUCCAGCUUUGUGCUUUUAUCCUGGUGGUGGCCCUCAAGAAUAAGCCAAGCGUCCGGUUUCAUCUCAGUGCAUUUUCGUCUUUAAGAACAUAGAGAAGCAUACUGUUUUAAGAUCCUGAAUGCUGAGAGGAAGGCCUCUUCCUUCUUCGCCAUGUCCUGAACUCCGUUUGCCACCUCCUGCUAUUCCUGGACAUGAGGAAUCUGGAAGAAUACGCCGUAUCUGGAACGCCAAGCAAGCCCUUAACAAAUAUGUGUUGAAGCCCUUUGAAUGAACUCCAAGUGCCUUUCCAAGAAAAAAAAAAAAAAAGAAGAAGAAGGCACUUUCAACAAGUGGACACACUGCUUCAAUCAGUAGAUUUUUGCUUUUCUCUUUCCUGGAACGAUUGCUGUUUUUUUGCUUCCUUGCCAUUUCAACAUGUUCCUUGAGAUUGUGGUAAGGUAGUGAGCUCUGAGCACGUGACAAGCAUUAGAAGCAUUCAAAUGGAGAUGCAUCUUCCAGAUAAACAGGAGCCCAGGAGCUGAUCUCCAUGCAGAAGAUGAUGAGUUGAGAUCCUGCCCAGGAAUAAGUGUCGGACCAGCUGCCUGGAGUCCGACGUUAGCCGGAGCGAGCCUAAUUACUGGUAGGCAAGAGGGCCCGAUGCAACAACGUGCUACACACACGGCCUUCCUCUCUGCUCUCAUUCGCUUCUGGUUUCAGAGGAGCCUGGAAUUUUGUUGGAGGCAAACAAUUGCGUUCCCUCUGCUCGAUAUGCUAGGAUGAAAUAUGAUUGCAUUUCCCCCAGGGAACCUCCAGUUGAAAAGGGCCAGUCUGGAAAAGAGUGCGCCAGUGAUCAAAGUGGCCACAUAUGAUGGUCCCAGACUGAUGCCUGUGUUCCCACUGAAGGAGACUUUCUUCCCGGGAUGAGAUCCAGCCUCCACUCUAAAGUUCUUAGCACGCCAGGGUGAAGAAGUUCUGGAAGUGUUCUGUGAAGUUGCAUCUUGAAGAAUGAGGAAUGCAGAGGGGCCUCUCAGACCACAGAGGAUGGCAGUGCUGGGAAUGACGUCUGGAACUGGUCAUUGGCACCCGAGGGUGGAGAGGGCUGGAAUCCACGCCACCAUUCCCUUCUUUGUGCAUGUUGAGACCUCCUGUGACUUCAGAAUCUUUGUCAGCAUAGUGUUACAAGAAGCAGUUAAUUGAGGUUGGCCAGAGCAACAAUGCUUCUUUGGCACUCUUGGUAUUUAUCGUAGGAGAGUAUGGUAAAUAGUGCUGGAAGUAGAAUGUGCCACUUUCUGGAUUAUUUUCUUCUAGUUGAUGAGUAGGAUCUCUUCCAAACCUUGGGAAAGACUUGUGCUUUAUAGAUAUUUUUUUUCUUCCUAAUUAUAUUCCACUACCAGCUUUUCAGCCUGUUUACAUGGGUAUGUAAAAAUACAGAACUAGCUUUCAUUUAAAGCUAGAAAAAAAAAACAAAAAGAAAAACAUAAAAGUAAAAUACGUACUAUAGGAUCUUCAGAGCUCCUGCCAGUGCACCUCAAACCUGGAUUUCAGUUUUUUAGCUCUCUACAAAGAAUGGCCUUCACAAGUCCGUCCAAUGACUGCAACAACAAAGACAGGGCCCCACAAUACUUGAGGUCAUCGAGGGGCAUCGUGGCACAUUUGGGGCCACCUUAACUUCGUCUCUGUGCUCAGACUGUCCUUGAGUAAUCACUGAACUCCCUUUCCGUCCCGUGGGAAAUGACACCUUAACGCCUUCUUUCCAAAUAGGAAGCCUCCACCAUUCAUGGAAGCGAUAUCAAUUCUACUCAAGGUAAAUUCUAUAAUUUUUCAAGAGUCUUUUGUUUAAUAUGGAAACUUCAAGCAGAGGACCCAGGGCAUUUUCUUUCAUCAACGUGAUUCUAAUUUUAUCAGAGCACUAAAAAGAAAUCUACUUGGCUUUUUCUUGUCCAGUACUCCACUUGCUCUGAAGCACAUUCAAAAGCCACCUCUCUGAUCUGAAGACAUCUCCGCAGAAUUAUGUAAUUGGACCAACGGUUGCCGGUUCCCCGCACUCUUGCUACUUCGCAUUAUUGCAGAGCAGACUACUGUUUUGCAGACCUUCCUUAUUGCGUAAAUGGCUACAUUAUCACUGUGUACACAUUAGGACAAGCAAAUGGGCCCCUUAAGGCAAAUAAGGGUUCAAAUAACCCAGACAAGGUAGCCCAACUGAAUUGAGGAUUCACCCUUGUUACAACCUCAUUGCUUUAUGGCACAUGAACUAGUGGAAGGGACAGACUGCUUCAAGUGUGUUUCUACUGAUCCUGCUGGCAAAUCACAGCUUUAUUACAGUAAUGAGCCUGACCAUAUUUCUGUGCUUAUGCAUAUUAGGCACCAAAUGUAUUUUCCGGCCUGCCAGCCUGUGGUAGUAACUAACACGAGCAAUUUGUCCUGGGUUACAGUGUGUGUGCAUGCAUUAGGUAUGAGCAUGUUAGUUGCUUUGGGGUAUAAAUACUACAUGUUUCAUCAUGCGUAUUUUUAUAUGCACAACUUAACUGUAUGCAAAAUAGCUUGGCAAUUAACCAACACAACUUAUUAGUUUACUACAAGAUUAUUGCAUAAAUAUGUGAACUGGGGACAGCCACAAUUUCAAUUUGGCAAUAUUAAAAAUUUUGUUGGAUUAUUAAAUAUCUGAAGAAAUAUCUCCCCCCUCUAUGGUAUAAGUGUUAAGGUUCUUUAAAAAAAAAUAUUUUGAUUCUUCUCCCAUUUUCAUUUCCAUAAAUAACCCUGAGCGGGACCCUUUUCGGCAGGCUGUGGGAUUUGAGCCGGUGAAUUCCCCCAUACUCAUUGUGAGCUGACAUUUGGCCUUUGACCCCGUCAGCUUUCAGGCGAAGGUGAAUGGUCAUUAUUGCGAUUUCUUCCUCAGGAUCACAUUUUAUGUAUGCCAGUUAUUGGGUCCAGGGUUAUUAAAAAGGAACAUCAGCAUACUUCAGCUCAACCGCUAAGAACAGUGUAUAUGUUUCCUCUUUCUGUUGACCACUGGGAUCGUAGAGCUCAGUGCUGUUGGCUUGUGUGACUGCCUUGGAGGCGUACAGGACUUACUCCAAAAGCGCAGACCCACGGAACCACCUCUCCCUGAACUCUUAAUUAAAAUGAACUCUUUCUCCCGCUUCGCUGCAAAACAAAGAAACGAACAAAACAUUAAGUACGGAAUACAGGAUUGGUACAAAAUAAAGGGUUAGCUUGGUGGGAGGCUGCUGCCAAGGGAAUGGCUGCUCUUGCUACUUCCGCACGUGUCACAUGUCGUAAGGUGUCAGAGAAUUACUUUUUUCCUCCAUUCAGGUUGGAUUUAUGUAAAUGACUGCACAGGACAGGUGCCUUUAUUUAGUUGCUACUAAAGCCGGAAUCAUGUUGUACAAGAGCUGAUAACAUGAAAUAACACGAAAUAAGUGGGCUUAUCCCGUCUGAAGCUUGUUUUACAGUACUGGUAUUUCUCUUUAGCAAAUCCUGCUGCGUUUUUAAGUAAUACGAUAAAACAACAUAAAUGUCUUUGUGGCUAAAACUGAUUGUUUCAGGAGGAGCAUGGCUGUUUUAUUCUUGUCUUUUAUCUCCUCUACACUGAAUUUUUGAAAACAAGACCAGCUCCCUGGCCUGUGUGUAUAUAAAUAGGCUAUUUGCGUAGAGACCCCACAAUUAUUCAUGCAUCAAAGAGAGGGAGAAUGGGAGGGAACCCCAUGCUGAUAAUAGCAGCACCCCAAAUCAAUAUAAAACCAAGACCGAAAUGUGCCUUUUGCAGUCCUGUCACAGAUUAAUAUGGUUCAUGAUAGAUACUUAGUUCUCUGACAGUUUCCCCUGCACCUUCGCUGGGAAGUUGAUAGAAAUUACUCCAGCUGAAUGCUUAAAGCAGAUGUUAUCCCAUUAAUUAGCUCUGGACCCGGGUACACUCGAGACUUUCCCAUUUUCAGGCCGAAAGGAAUUGGUCCCAGUGAGCGUGCUCUAUAUCCACAUUUAGUAUCAUCUCAUAAACAGCAGUGAAAACACAGCAGGCCCUUGAUGAAGAUACAUUAGCUUAUUUCUAAUUUAAAGUUAUGUUGCUUAACCUUAAUGUAAUUGGUCACCGGUGGCCAACUGUUUGUAUAGUGUGUUGAUGACCAAAGAGAUGUAAUAAAUUAUAAAACUCCCUGCUUAAAUGGAGGGAACGACUGUUUUGUUAAAAGCUUUGCAUGUAAUAAUGGUAAAAUAAUUACACCUCAAGCCGAAUAACUGUGAAGCUGUUAAUACUAACAACAGAGUUGUUCUCAGGAUAGCUCGGUUCAUCCCCAUUUAAAACCAGUACAUGAACCUGGCUCUUGUAUUUAGCAAAAGAGUAACUUUGAAAGUUCAAUCUCACCCUGAUUAAAAUAAAUGGGUAAGUCGUCCUGUUAUCUUAGUUGGGAAUGAUGGUGAUGGGUAGUAGGGUGGUGGGGUGAAUUAAAAUAACCAAUUGCUAUGGUUAACUAGGAGACAAAAAGCACAAACCGGUUCGUAGUCACUGCCAGACACGUCUUUAAAGAAGACUUGAUUAGCUGGUGGAAAAACUGGGAUAAUCAUCAAAUAUGAAAGUAAUUGACACAACUUUAAUGUUUAAUAAUGAAUAGCCCGCCAGAGGCAAAAUAAAGGGAAACGGUCUUCUUUUCUCCGAACAAGUUCUGACUUAAAAUUUCUUAGGCCAAAUACAGAGAGCGAUUGCUCGAGGUUUGUGAACUACAAUUCCAAGAUUAUAAUUAAAGUUAUAAAUAUGGUUAAAAUGAAAUCACACGAUUAACAAUAUUCAAUCUAUCAGGGGUAAUGAUAUUCAUUCCAUAGGUGUUCUGUAUGUCACUGUGAAAACUCUAGUCCCCCCUCUCCCUGUUAAAGGCUUGUGACUUAUUUUGAAAUGCAAAAGUGAAAUAAACAGAGUCGUGCUUCUGUCUGGA